AUGCAAAGAACUUUGAAAAGAGAGUUAAAGAGUACCUGAAAUUGCUGAAAGGGAAGCGAAGGAAAUCAGUGCCGGCCGAGUCAUAUUUCUCCCUUCGCUUGCGGAGUGGGCGCUGUGUCUUGGCCACUGUCAGGCUUGGUUGGGCUGKNCGGAAUCGCGCUGUGAGAGUUGAUCACUGCAUGUCUGCGACUGGCCCGACUGAGGUUGACGAAAUGGUUUUCUUUACCCCGUCUUGAAACACGGACCAAGGAGUCUAACAUAUGUGCGAGUACAGGGGUGCCAAACCCCCGUGCGUAAUGAAAGUGACAGUGGUUGGACCCCUUUCGAGGGUGCACAAUCCGCCGGCCCCAAUUCUUCGGAAGAAUGGUCUGAGUGUGAGCAUACAUGUUGGGACCCGAAAGAUGUGUGAACUAUGCCUGAGUAGGGUGAAGCCAGGGGAAACUCUGGUGGAGGCUCGUAGCGAUUCUGACGUGCAAAUCGAUCGUCAAACUUGGGUAUAGGGGCGAAAGACUAAUCGAACCAUCUAGUAGCUGGUUCCCUCCGAAAUUUCCCUCAGGAUAGCUGCAAUCGAAUGUCAAUUUUAUCA
rnacentral:rRNA from 1 species